rnacentral:rRNA from 1 species
UACGUAGGGCGCAAGCGUUGUCCGGAAUUAUUGGGCGUAAAGAGCUCGUAGGCGGCUUGUUGCGUCGGCUGUGAAAUCCCGAGGCUCAACCUCGGGUCUGCAGUCGAUACGAGCAAACUAGAGUGUUGCAGGGGAGACUGGAAUUCCUGGUGUAGCGGUGAAAUGCGCAGAUAUCAGGAGGAACACCGGUGGCGAAGGCGGGUCUCUGGGCCAUUACUGACGCUGGAGGAGCGAAAGCAUGGGGAGC